UACGGGGGGGGUAAGCGUUGUUCGGAAUUACUGGGCGUAAAGGGCUCGUAGGCGGCCAACUAAGUCAGACGUGAAAUCCCUCAGCUUAACUGGGGAACUGCGUCUGAUACUGGAUGGCUUGGAUCCGGGAGAGGGAUGCGGAAUUCCAGGUGUAGCGGUGAAAUGCGUAGAUAUCGGGAGGAACAUCAGUGGCGAAGGCGGCUACCUGGCCCAAUACUGACACUCAGGUGCGACAGCGUGGGGAGCAAACAGG
rnacentral:rRNA from 1 species